GAUGAACGCUGACAGAAUGCUUAACACACGCAAGUCUACUUGAUUCUACUUCGGUAGUUGAUGGUGGCGGACGGGUGAGUAACGCGUAAAGAAUCUGCCCUUUAGUUCGGGAUAACCUUUGGAAACGAAGGAUAAUACCGGAUAUUAUGGAGACGUCGCAUGACGAUUUCAUGAAAGCUAUAUGCGCUAGAGGAGGACUUUGCGUCCCAUUAGUUAGUUGGUGAGGUAAUGGCUCACCAAGACCGCGAUGGGUAGCCGGCCUGAGAGGGUGAUCGGCCACAAGGGAACUGAGACACGGUCCUUACUCCUACGGGAGGCAGCAGUGGGGAAUAUUGGACAAUGGGCCACAAGCCUGAUCAAGCAAUUCUGUGUGCACGAUGAAGGUCUUCGGAUUGUAAAGUGCUUUCAGUAGGGAAGAAAAAAAUGACGGUACCUACAGAAGAAGCGACGGCUAAAUAUGUGCCAGCAGCCGCCGUAACAC
rnacentral:rRNA from 1 species